AUUGUUUGGGACGGGGAUGGACGUGUAAACAAAAUUGGUGGACGCGAUCGUCAUUUCAUGCGAGACCGAACAAGGUUCAAAACCCUCUUAACCGAUCAAUUGCUAGGGUUUUCUUCUUAUUCUUCGUUCGUUGCGCGUUAGCUUUGAGCGAGCGGCCUUCAACUUCUUCUCUUUGAACUUUGCGUUCUCCAAUCCGAGCACAGGAUGGAUUCUCAGGUGAAGCUUGCAGUCGUGGUGAAGGUAAUGGGACGAACUGGGUCAAGGGGACAGGUGACUCAGGUCAGGGUCAAAUUUCUGGAUGA